AGGCUUUCCAGCCACUGCCGUGAGGCAGCAUUACAACAACGGGCUUUAAUUGUGACAGGAGGAAAGGGAGAGAGAAGCUCUGCUCUGAAGAGUGUCUCGGAGCCGCGCUGACACACCUCGGUGCAGAGCACGGAAGCAAACCCGGCUCCAUUCCUUACCACCUGCGUUCCGAGACUCCUAACACUCUUAGCUGGCAAGUCACCUAUUCCCAGAGUAUCUCCGUGAAAGAAGAAGAGGGGAGAUGGCUUUAUUCCCAUUUUACAGGGAAUAUUCUCCACCUCCGUGUUUUUCUCAUCACAGCUCCCAGAUCAAGAUGGCAGAAGAACAGAAGCCUACAGCUCAAGGAUGCAGAAGGAAGUUAG
rnacentral:lncRNA from 1 species